rnacentral:lncRNA from 1 species
GGAGAUUCCUGUUUGCUAGAGAUUUUUCUGUAGGAGUGGGAAAAGUAUCUGACUGAUAGUGCUUGGCAAGAAGGAUCUCUCUUCACACAAGGAAGCAGCAUGGGCAUCAACUCUGGCACUCUUCCCUGUUUUGCCUGGUUUUUUUGUAUAAGAGGCAUCGCAGCCAUCACUUUGGUUUUAGACACCAUGAGUCUCAGCGCACUGUUGAAACUCCC